AAUAUUUCUAUUCUAUUUCAGGCCCAAGCUAAUUUAGUGAAAGAUCAUUUAGCCUCAAAUAUUGCUUGUUCUAAACAGUUAUUGCUACGCUGUCCGCUGUGUGUGAACGGAACAUGUGGGAAGACAAAAGCUUUCUUUGCAAGUCAACAGGAGCUAUUGGAUGAAAUGAAAUCUCAGGAAAAAUCUAAAGCUGUUUCAUCAGCUUAAUUAUAAUACCACUCAUGUUGACGAUUUGUUAUACUUUAAUUUACUUAUACUGUGGUUAAAUAUAUUUUAUUGAAUGUUCAUUUCUUGAGAAAUGAACAAAUGUCAAGAUUUUUAUUAUGGCCACAUUUUCUUAUUUUAAUACAUUCAGUUUGAUACAAAAGAAGCUAUGACUUUAAUAUCAAGGGCAUAGAUUCCAUACACAAUGAAUUAUCAAAAUGGAAUUUUAGACCAACAGAAACAACCUAUUCUGUUCUCGUGAUCUAAUUGUUUAGACAUGAAACAUUUGUCACAAAUUCAAAGUACUUUAAUAUGUUUUUUGAAAUAUGAUCUCAUAUCAAAUAUAUAUUGUUAACCAAUUUAUUUUCUUGAGCGAAUUGACUUCAGCAAGUAGAAAUUAUUAUGCAAUUAUUUAAAUCUUGAACUCUUUUCAUAUUAAACUUCAUCAAUAAAAUUAGAAAAUUGUGAAUAUUUUCAACGAAGUCGUCUAGAAAUUUUGUCAUGAUGGUGCAUUGUGUGUAUUUUGCAUUUUUUGUUCAAAUAUAAUAUUUAAUAUGCAAUUUUGUACAUAAUAUCUUACAACAAAAGUUAAUUUGUCACAUCAACAGAUUGUUACUAUUGGUUGAAAGUCUGUGAUUAUCAAUGUCUCAUAUAAGCAUUCUAUUUAUAUAUGUAUCGAAUAUUUGUCUAUCAAUGAAAUAUAUUAAGAAAUUUAAUAUUGAAUAUUUCAAACAUUUAUGAUAAAUACAUGACAUAUACAUUUCCUGCAACUCCUGUGUCACAUGACCAUCAACAAAUAUUAACAGAUUUUUUUUAUUACCAAUUUCAGCAUAAUCGACAUUAACUGAUUUUAUCUGAAUACAUUUCAUUUGAUUGUUGAAUGGUCAUAAAACCUUUGAUUCAGGCUAAUUGGUGCUCCAUGUGAUUGGAUGGAAAAUGGUCUUGCCUGAUAUAAGGCAACAUAGAAUAUAAUUUUUUUACAGAAUAGAAUUUUUCAUUCUCAAGAUGUUUUCCAAAUGUAGGGGUGAAUAUUCCUCUUUAGUGGAGAAUUCUAGUCUUAAAUGUCAUGACAAAUACAAAGUACAGCUUUGCAAAAUAUUAUCAUCCUAUUAGUUGUAUUUGAAAAAUGAAAAUAUGUAGAUUCUUUAUUCAAUAUAUAAAUGAGUAAGUCACUCAUUUACAGAAAUUAGACUGAGCACUCAAUGAGCAAUUGCCAUUUUACAUUACAUCAAAAUAACAGAUUUGAUGAUAAUUUUAAUUUUUAAAAAUCUGUAACUUUGCCAAGGGAAGUAAUUUGUGCACAAUUGUGUGUAAUUCAGGGGAGAUAAUUUGGAUUUUCUUCAAAUAAUAUGAAUUGAUAAAUUGAAACAAAACCAUCACAAGUGAAUACCAACAUUUUUCAUUUCAUUUCUUAUUGUAAUUUAUGUGAAUAAUUUCCUCCCAAAGAAUUAUCAAUUUAUAUCAAAUUGGUUUAGUUAUUUCAACAAAGAACUGUUUCCUCUAUACCAUGUAUAUCAAAACAAAAUAAUCAAGAAGAAACCAAAGGGUACAAAUGACUACAAACUAGCUUGUGUAGAAAUAAAUUGUUUUGCAUAAGUAAUCUUUAGAAAAUUUUAAUUUUUUGAAACUCAGGAUAUUUAUUAUAUGAAUUUAAAACAGAAAAUAAUAUUACAUUGUAGUUAAGUUUAUACAAAAAUCAAAUUUUACCAAGUUUAUCUAUUUACAAGUAGCAU
rnacentral:lncRNA from 1 species